CAGUCGUACCAGCGGAUAAUCAGCCUUUAGAUGCGAUUUUGUGGAGCGUGAAGAGCCAAUCGCCUUUAUGCCUGUAUAUUCGUGCACUUUGGGUGUACUUGCUCGUGUGGUUUGUUAACAUCAAUUUCGAACAUCAUAAAAUGGCUGGAGGAAUGUAGCUUCGAUCUCGUAUUGAAGUGUUAUAGCCUUCGGUAGAUGUGGUUUUCGAGAUUGAGGAUUGCAACGGAUACCCUUCGGGGCUACCUAUCUGAUCUCUGAUCGUUGCUCUGGUGCCGAAAGCUUGCUUACGGUUAUCAAAGUCGAUGGUCAAUAUGUUAGAAUGGGUUAAAUUC
rnacentral:rRNA from 1 species